CAUGGAAUGACUGAGAUGGGAAUGGACCUCUGGAGUUCAACUGGUACAGCCCCCUCAAGCAGGUCCAGUGAAAGCAAACUGCAAAGGACUGUGUCUAUUUGGGUUUCAAUUAUCUGGAUGGAUGAAGACUCCACAACCUCUCAGGUAAUCCUAUAAGAAAUAUGGUCUGGCUCCCAAAUGGGCAAGUACCCACCAGAGAAGCACAGAACAGCUGCUGAAUGAACACAGGAAGGCAAGAAACGUGGUAGAAGGGCUGCACCCAGGGAGGAGGAACAACCCCAUACACCAGCAUGAGCUGGGGGCUGGCUGGAAAGCAGUUUGCAGAGAAAGACCUGGGGGUGCUGGUGGGCAACAGUUGGAUGGAAGACACAACAGUGCAAAGGCUGAAAGAUCCUGACCUGAUUGCUGGAAUUUAUACCGGCAACGAAUUCACACAGGGAACGGCCAGAAGGAAUGACUGAAAUGGCUUGAUUUGAUUUCACAUGGAAGACUAAACAGGGUUUUUCCUGAAAUUCACUAUAAUUUGAACAAUACUUCAAAAUUUAAGGAAAUCCCUUCCCCCCGCUCAGUAAUGGGGAACUCACUGCAAGUUUAGUAAAUUUUGGUGCUU